rnacentral:rRNA from 1 species
AUUACUAAGCGGAGGAAAAGAAACUAACAAGGAUUCCCCCAGUAACGGCGAGUGAAGCGGGAAUAGCCCAGCACCGAAUCCCCUGCCGUCCGGCAGCGGGAACUGUGGUGUUCGGGACGACCUUCGUUCGUCGGCCGGGCGCCCGAGUCCUCCUGAUCGGGGCCCUACCCAGAGCGGGUGUAAGGCCUCUACGGCGUCUGGCCGGCGAGCCCGGGGAGUCCUCGGAGUCGGGUUGUUUGAGAUUGCAGCCCAAAGCGGGUGGUAAACUCCAUCUAAGGCUAAAUACUGGCACGAGUCCGAUAGCGAACAAGUACCGUGAGGGAAAGUU